rnacentral:lncRNA from 1 species
UAGGGGGAGCUCGGCCAAAACAUUGGGUUAGGAGGGGGUGGGAGGGGUAAUCCGUUUGAUCCAACGUCAGAUCCCACCACUGACUCCCUUGAACAAGGGCUAUCAAAUGAGGCCUUCUCCCAGCAAGCUGUAUGAAAUUGGAGAUUCCACUUACCUUCUGCCUCUUAAAAUUAGACAAGCCCUCCACACAGCAAGAGAAUAAGUGGCAAGCAUGUGGACAGCUCUUUCUGAGCUGGAUGAUUUAGUGAAGCAGCUGUGGGGGACACAGGAGGGGAGAUUUGGAAGAAGGACGCAGUGGGCUGAGGGAGGACUAUUCACCCCCUAUUUGCAAUGCUGGAGUUAUUACUUUCUUGCCUAUGGUGUUAAAGGGACUGUGAACCUCAGCCCAUUUUGUGGUCAUAAAUCAGCAACUUGGAGGAAGUACCUGGUAUGUUUGCAGUCAGGACACUAAUGAGUAUGGACAGUGAAGUCCUCUAUUGUCGCACAUGCUCCAUGAGGACCUGGGGAUGUUCUCAGCCAGCAAGGACCAGCGGGAUGGCUGCUUCUUCCUCAAGCAUCCCUCAGUGAGACCUCAGGGAGCCCCAAGUGCCUCUCUCCAAGUUCCUAUGACAUGCAUUUGCCUUUAUUCUUACUUCCUUCUUUCUGUCUCCCUCACAUUUUAUCUACCCCUGUCUUUCUUCUGUCAUCCC